UUUGUGGAGAAAUCAUAUAGAUGCGCUUUUCAGUUAUUCCGUAGCAAUCGGUACGAACGGUUUUGAAAUAUCGACAGAUUUUGGAUAAAUCAACAAUACAAAACUCAUAUCACCACAACAGUAAAAACAACAAAACUUUAUAAAAAUGAAUGAGGCCAGAAGUUUGUUCACCACCUUCGUUAUCCUUGUGUUCUUACUUGGAUUACUUUGGGCUUUCUAUGAAGCUGUCUUCUAAAAUAUGCCAAACGUUUACAUUAAUUUUGCUAUGUAAACCGACAGCACAGUUCUUACAUGAUGUUAAUUUUAAUAGAAUUUAUUUUAAAUUAAGAAAACGAAUUCCAAAUCUUUAAUAUUGUAAUAAUAUAUCAAUGUAGUUGUUAAUGUGUAAAUAAGGCGAUAUAGUCUAUAAGACAGAUGACGUUAAUGCCCAGCAGUAAUUAUGCCAUAAAAUUGCAAUUAUAGCCAAAAGGCGCAAGAUCUUGAAUACAUUAUGUGUGUGACUAAAAGGGGUACAUUUGAAGAUCAAUUCGAAGAGAAAAUGCGCAAAUGUUCAAGCAACAACAAACCAGAAAAUCUAAAGCAAUAUGGAUUGGAACGGAUCGGAUCGGAUGUGCACACACCAAAAUUACUGUACACAGAUGCAGAAGUGAUCUUAGAUACACAUAUAGGUAAAUUGGUGUGUCUGCCGCCUCACGUCUCCACUUCACGUUGGGCAGAUUGUGGCCGCGGCAUUUACGUCAUCGUUAAAUUUCGUUUAUUUUAACAUGCAUACAAAAACAAAUCAUU